CCUACGGGAGGCUGCAGUGGGGAAUAUUGCACAAUGGGCGCAAGCCUGAUGCAGCCAUGCCGCGUGUGUGAAGAAGGCCUUCGGGUUGUAAAGCACUUUCAGCGGGGAGGAAGGCGGUGAGGUUAAUAACCUCAUCGAUUGACGUUACCCGCAGAAGAAGCACCGGCUAACUCCGUGCCAGCAGCCGCGGUAAUACGGAGGGUGCAAGCGUGAAUCGGAAUUACUGGGCGUAAAGCGCACGCAGGCGGUCUGUCAAGUCGGAUGUGAAAUCCCCGGGCUCAACCUGGGAACUGCAUUCGAAAGUGGCAGGCUAGAGUCUUGUAGAGGGGGGUAGAAUUCCAGGUGUAGCGGUGAAAUGCGUAGAGAUCUGGAGGAAUACCGGUGGCGAAGGCGGCCCCCUGGACAAAGACUGACGCUCAGGUGCGAAAGCGUGGGGAGCAAACAGGAUUAGAUACCCGUGUAGUC
rnacentral:rRNA from 1 species